UCGAGGGUGGCAGUGAUUACAAUUCUUUAAGAAGCUGUGGAGUUAUGGACCCUCUCUUCAGAAAAAAACAGAUUUUGCACAUAAUCCAUGGACCACAGGAUAAGUACUUAGAUGCCACCAGGGGAAGCCACUGCAGCCCAAGAUUGAAUCCAAAGCAAGCAAUUGCCAUGGUCCAUCAGAUAACUGCCAGCACAACCAAAAGGAAUGUGAUGAUCCCCGGGCAGAGUCUAUGCUGAUAGCCAUCAUCAAUGACAACUGAAAGAUCAGGGUAUAGGGCGUUGCUCCAGCCUCUGAAGCAUAUCAAGUAAAACAAAAGACUGCCAGGAACUAAGACCAGAUGGAUGCCCUCACCCAGAGACCCGAUGCCUCCCCGACUUGGAGACCAGCCCUCUAUCUAACUGGCCUGUAGUCUUUGUUCUGAGAGAUGGUUCUCUGAGACAUUAGACAGCCAUCUUCCCUCUUGCUAGCAAGCUGUAAUAAACUGCCCUUUCUUUUCCACCAUCUUGCCUCCUGACGAUUGGCUUUUGUCUUGUGGCAAGCAGAUUGUGCCCUUUGUGUGGUAAGAAAAUGAUUUGAGUAAAGAUUCU